rnacentral:rRNA from 1 species
UGCGCAGGCGGUUUUGCAAGCCGGAUGUGAAAUCCCCGGGCUUAACCUGGGAAUGGCAUUUGGGACUGCAAGGCUGGAGUGCGGCAGAGGAGACUGGAAUUCCUGGUGUAGCAGUGAAAUGCGUAGAUAUCAGGAGGAACACCGAUGGCGAAGGCAGGUCUCUGGGCUGACACUGACGCUCAUGCACGAAAGCGUGGGGAGCAAACA